rnacentral:misc_RNA from 1 species
GUAUUUAUACAGCUUAUUGUAACCGCCUAUAACAACCUAACAACCUUGCUAACAAUUCUAGCUACAACUCUAACUAUUUUCAGACAUCCUUGACUGCUGUUAUUGACUUUUUCCUGAACCUAAUCCUCCCGUAUGUGACACCUGAGUCAGAAAAAUAUAAGUCAUAAAUGUGAUGCAGCUGAUGUGAAAGAGGCCACAAAU